UACGUAGGGUGCAAGCGUUGUCCGGAAUUAUUGGGCGUAAAGAGCUCGUAGGCGGUCUGUCGCGUCGGAUGUGAAAAUCCAGGGCUCAACCCUGGACCUGCAUUCGAUACGGGCAGACUAGAGUUCGGCAGGGGAGACUGGAAUUCCUGGUGUAGCGGUGAAAUGCGCAGAUAUCAGGAGGAACACCGGUGGCGAAGGCGGGUCUCUGGGCCGAUACUGACGCUGAGGAGCGAAAGCGUGGGAGCAAACAGG
rnacentral:rRNA from 1 species